rnacentral:rRNA from 1 species
UACGUAGGGUGCGAGCGUUGUCCGGAAUUACUGGGCGUAAAGAGCUCGUAGGUGGUUUGUCGCGUUGUCCGUGAAAACUCACAGCUCAACCCUGGGCCUGCAUUCGAUACGGGCAGACUAGAGUACGGCAGGGGAGACUGGAAUUCCCAGUGUAGCGGUGAAAUGCGUAGAUAUUGGGAGGAACACCAGUGGCGAAGGCGGCUCACUGGACCGGUACUGACGCUGAUGCGCGAAAGCGUGGGGAGCAAACGGG